CACACAACUCCCUAACGUCCCUGGGUCAAGUUUGACGCAAUCCCCAACUCGAAUACACCCGGCUUCGAAGCUUUGGGUUUUUUUGCGGAGACUUUCAGGCCAAUUUCAGUACAUGUACGUCUGCUUUUUGGAGUUCCAAGAGGGACCUUCCGGCGUGUUUUUGGCUAAAUCACGGCGAGUUAGCCGUUGCUAUGGGUACCAAUCUGUUCAUCUCAUUCCGAGGUGUCGGCUAGUACGCCUUGACUUCAGUUGGGGUGUGUCAAAGUUUGUGAAGCACCACUUCCAAUUCCAAGCAUAUGAUUUGGUGUUGAACAAGGCAUAAAUUUCAUAAUUUCACUUUUACUCUGGACAGUUGUAUUGUGUUGACUUACAAUACAGGUACUACAUAUUUCUCGAAAACUAUUUCAUUCCAAUAUUUGUUGUUUUAGACGUUUGUUUUUACUCUGCCUGUCCAAGAAAUAAAAGUGUUGAUUUUACA